GAUGAAGAACGCAGCGAAAUGCGAUAAGUAGUGUGAAUUGCAGAAUUCAGUGAAUCAUCGAAUGUUUGAACGCACAUUGCGCCCCUUGGUAUCCCGAGGGGCAUGCCUGUUCGAGCGUCAUUUCACCACUCAAGCCUGGCUUGGUGUUGGGCGACGUCCCCUUUGGGGACGCGCCUCGAAACGCUCGGCGGCGUGGCACCGGCUUUAAGCGUAGCAGAAUCUUUCGCUUUGGAAGUCGGGGCCCCGUCUGCCGGAAGACCUACUCGCAAGGUUGACCUCGGAUCAGGCAGGGAUACCCGCUGAACUUAAGCAUAUCAAUAAGCGGAGGA
rnacentral:misc_RNA from 1 species